rnacentral:rRNA from 1 species
UACGAGGGGUGCAAGCGUUGCUCGGAAUCAUUGGGCGUAAAGGGUAGGUAGGUGGUCUGAUUUGUCUGGGGUGAAAGCCUUGGGCUCAACUCAAGAAGUGCCUUAGAAACGGUCAGACUAGAGUCCUGGAGAGGAUCGCGGAAUUCCCGGUGUAGCGGUGAAAUGCGUAGAGAUCGGGAGGAACACCAGAGGCGAAGGCGGCGAUCUGGACAGGAACUGACACUCAACUACGAAAGCAUGGGUAGCAAAC